ACUGCUUCUGUUGACGCCCUGGGAGGAGGUGUUCUUGAGGUCUUUGAAUGACAUUACAAUCACUCAAUCCAAGGGCACGGAAGUCUCUCCGGAUAUUGAAGCAAAGGUUUGUACUUGAUUGAAUUCAAAAUCUUAGCCCAAUUUUUCUGCGCAUGACAGUUUUAAAGAAUAGUUGGAACUUAAACGUAUGUAAGGCUCUGGUUGGAAUUGUAUAUUCCAUUUCAAAUGCUAUCACAUAAUUGUGAAAAUAAGAUGCAUGGUGAUACUUGCCUUGAUCGGGACAAUGCAACCAACUUGUUCUGUUUGGAUGCAGAAGAAAUACAU
rnacentral:lncRNA from 1 species